UCCGGUUUGUCACCGGCAGUCUCAUUAGAGUGCCCAACUGAAUGUAGCAACUAAUGACAAGGGUUGCGCUCGUUGCGGGACUUAACCCAACAUCUCACGACACGAGCUGACGACAGCCAUGCAGCACCUGUGUUCCCGUUCCCUUUCGGGCACACCCCCAUCUCUGGGGGCUUCCGUACAUGUCAAGGGUAGGUAAGGUUUUUCGCGUUGCAUCGAAUUAAACCACAUAAUCCACCGCUUGUGCGGGCCCCCGUCAAUUUGUUUGAGUUUUAGCCUUGCGGCCGUACUUCCCAGGCGGAGCACUUAAUGCGUUAGCUACGUCACCGGGGGAGUCAAUACCCCCAAUAACUAGUGCUCAUCGUUUACGGCGUGGACUAC
rnacentral:misc_RNA from 1 species